GACGAACGCUGGCGGCGCGCCUAACACAUGCAAGUCGAACGGAGCUUUUUGGAAGUUGGCCUUCGGGCCAGCGGAAGAAAAGCUUAGUGGCGAACGGGUGAGUAACACGUGAGCAAUCUGCCUUCGAGUGGGGGACAACAGUUGGAAACGACUGCUAAUACCGCAUAAGACCACAGCCUCGCAUGGGGCGGUGGCCAAAGGGGAAAUUCGCUUGAAGAUGAGCUCGCGUCCGAUUAGAUAGUUGGUGAGGUAACGGCCCACCAAGUCGGCGAUCGGUAGCCGGACUGAGAGGUUGAACGGCCACAUUGGGACUGAGACACGGCCCAG
rnacentral:rRNA from 1 species